rnacentral:rRNA from 1 species
UACGAAGGGUGCAAGCGUUACUCGGAAUUACUGGGCGUAAAGCGUGCGUAGGUGGUUCGUUAAGUCUGAUGUGAAAGCCCUGGGCUCAACCUGGGAAUGGCAUUGGAUACUGGCGACCUAGAGUGCGGUAGAGGGGUGUGGAAUUCCCGGUGUAGCAGUGAAAUGCGUAGAUAUCGGGAGGAACAUCUGUGGCGAAGGCGACACCCUGGACCGACACUGACACUGAGGAGCGAAAGCCAGGGGAGCAAACGGG